AAGAGUGUUUGUCCCUACCACAAAGCAACAAGAAAGGAUUAUAAGAGAGGAGUCACGGGCACUGAAAGACAACAUCAAAUUCAUAGAAUAAAAAGCCACCUUAAUUAGUUAGUUGUGCACGAAACUAUUCACAACACAAAAUUUAAAUGUGCACCUCUCAGUGGACUCUCAUCAUUCAUCACUCGUCACCAAUUCGCCGUUGCAAUAUUUUAUCUUCACUUCCACAUUUCAUAAAUAGUUUUUGUUGGUGGCAGCAUGCGACUUUGGUACGCA